CGGGAUAACACCUGGAAACAGAUGCUAAUACCGGAUAACAACAGAUGAUGCCUAUCAACUGUUUAAAAGAUGGUUCUGCUAUCACUCUUGGAUGGACCUGCGGUGCAUUAGCUAGUUGGUAGGGUAACGGCCUACCAAGGCGAUGAUGCAUAGCCGAGUUGAGAGACUGAUCGGCCACAUUGGGACUGAGACACGGCCCAAACUCCUACGGGAGGCAGCAGNG
rnacentral:rRNA from 1 species